UACGGGGGGGCAAGCGUUGUUCGGAAUUACUGGGCGUAAAGGGCUCGUAGGCGGCCAACUAAGUCAGACGUGAAAUCCCUCGGCUUAACCGGGGAACUGCGUCUGAUACUGGAUGGCUUGAGUUCGGGAGAGGGAUGUGGAAUUCCAGGUGUAGCGGUGAAAUGCGUAGAUAUCUGGAGGAACACCGGUGGCGAAGGCGGCGACCUGGUCCUUUUACUGACGCUGAGGCGCGAAAGCGUGGGGAGCAAACAGG
rnacentral:rRNA from 1 species